rnacentral:rRNA from 1 species
GUCUUUUUGAUUAAUAAUUUAAAGUCUAAUCUGCCCACUGAUAUAAUAUUAAAGGGCUGCAGUAUUUUGACUGUACAAAGGUAGCAUAAUCAUUAGUCUCUUAAUUGGUGACUUGUAUGAAAGAUUUGAUGAAAUAUAUACUGUCUCUUUUUGAUUUGUAAAAUUUAAUUUUUUAGUUAAAAAGCUAAAAUAUGUUUAAAAGACGAGAAGACCCUAUAGAGUUUUAUAUUUAUAUAAAUUAAAAUUUUUUGUAAGAUUUAAAAUUUUGAUAUAUUUAAAUAUUAUGUUGGGGUGACAAAAAAAUUUGAAUAACUUUUUUUAUAAAUUAAACAUUUAUUAAUGAAUAUUUGAUCCGUAAUUUACGAUUAUAAGAAAAAAUUACCUUAGGGAUAACAGCGUAAUUUUUUUUUUUAGUUCAAAUAAGAAUUAAAGUUUGCGACCUCGAUGUUGGAUUAAGAUAAAAUUUAAAUGCAAAAGUUUAAAAUUUUUGAUCUGUUCGAUCAUUAAAAUCUUACA